GACCAAAGGUGGCCUCUACAUGUAAGCUAUCGCGUUGGGAUGGGCCCAGUUAGGAUUAGCUAGUUGGUAAGGUAAUGGCUUACCAAGGCAACGAUCCUUAGCUGGUUUGAGAGGAUGAUCAGCCACACUGGGACUGAGACACGGCCCAGACUCCUACGGGAGGCAGCAGUGGGGAAUAUUGCACAAUGGGGGAGACCCUGAUGCAGCCAUGCCGCGUGUGUGAAGAAGGCCUUCGGGUUGUAAAGCACUUUCAGCAGUGAGGAAGGUGGUGUACUUAAUACGUGCAUUGCUUGACGUUAGCUGCAGAAGAAGCACCGGCUAACUCCGUGCCAGCAGCCGCGGUAAUACGGAGGGUGCGAGCGUUAAUCGGAAUUACUGGGCGUAAAGCGCAUGCAGGCGGUUUGUUAAGUCAGAUGUGAAAGCCCGGGGCUCAACCUCGGAACCGCAUUUGAAACUGGCAGGCUAGAGUCUUGUAGAGGGGGGUAGAAUUUCAGGUGUAGCGGUGAAAUGCGUAGAGAUCUGAAGGAAUACCAGUGGCGAAGGCGGCCCCCUGGACAAAGACUGACGCUCAGAUGCGAAAGCGUGGGUAGCAAACAG
rnacentral:rRNA from 1 species